UUGAACGCUGGCGGCAUGCUUUACACAUGCAAGUCGAACGGCAGCGGGGGCUUCGGCCUGCCGGCGAGUGGCGAACGGGUGAGUAAUGCAUCGGAACGUACCCAGUCGUGGGGGAUAACUACGCGAAAGCGUAGCUAAUACCGCAUACGCCCUGAGGGGGAAAGCGGGGGACCUUCGGGCCUCGCGCGAUUGGAGCGGCUGAUGUCGGAUUAGCUAGUUGGUGGGGUAAAGGCCUACCAAGGCGACGAUCCGUAGCUGGUCUGAGAGGAUGAUCAGCCACACUGGGACUGAGACACGGCCCAGACUCCUAUGGGAGGCAGCAGUGGGGAAUUUUGGACAAUGGACGCAAGUCUGAUCCAGCCAUGCCGCGUGCGGGAAGAAGGCCUUCGGGUUGUAAACCGCUUUUGUCAGGGAAGAAACGCUCCUAUCUAAUACAUGGGGGUAAUGACGGUACCUGAAGAAUAAGCACCGGCUAACUACGU
rnacentral:rRNA from 1 species